rnacentral:misc_RNA from 1 species
GAUGAAGAACGUAGCGAAAUGCGAUAAGUAAUGUGAAUUGCAGAAUUCAGUGAAUCAUCGAAUCUUUGAACGCACAUUGCGCUCGCCAGUAUUCUGGCGAGCAUGCCUGUUCGAGCGUCAUUACAACCCUCAGGCCCCCGGGCCUGGCGUUGGGGAUCGGCGGAGCCCCCCGUGGGCACACGCCGUCCCCCAAAUGCAGUGGCGGUCCCGCCGCAGCUUCCAUCGCGUAGUAGCUAACACCUCGCGACUGGAGAGCGGCGCGGCCACGCCGUAAAACACCCAACUCUUCUGAAGUUGACCUCGAAUCAGGUAGGAAUACCCGCUGAACUUAAGCAUAUCAAUAAGCGGAGGA